CCACACAACUUUCUGAAUAAUAUACAGUACAGUAGAUAUUUUUAGUUGAUACUACAGAAGUAAGUCAGCCUCAGUGCACAGCAUGAUGGAUAAUUAACACAGAAAUCAAAAUGCUGAUCUAUUCAUUACGUUUUCUUGUUUUUGCUUCAUUUAUCCUACCACUGCAAGAACGUUGUAUUUAAAUGUGGUGCUGUUUAUUUUCUUUCAAUUAAAAAAAAGUGAAUUAGAUUUGAGAACAAGGAAGUCUCCUGCACAGAGCAGGGAGUCGUUCUUAGGGUGGGACUACAAAAGAAAUACAGAAGGCACUUAAGUGAGGACUGCUUUUGCUCUUCCUGUGUCUCAGUAUAACAAUGCUGUUCUUUUACUUUACAGUCAUGGCACUUCUUACAGAUACUGUUCUUGCAAAUGCAAUAACAUCCCGCUCUACUAAACAGCAUGUUUUAGAAGGAGGAAACAUUACUAUUUCUUGCAACUACAGUGGAAGCAAUAUUAACAGUCUUCAGUGGUACAGACAGUCUUCCAACACUGCACCUGAAUUUAUCUUGCAAGCUUUUGAAAGUGCGGGAGCACAGCAGAAGGAUCGUUAUGUUGCUAAAGUUCAAAUGAAUGAAAAACAACUACAUCUGGAGAUCUCCAAAACUGAGAUGGCAGACGCUGCAAUAUACUACUGUGCCCUGGUGCCCACAGUAACAGGAAACCCUUCAACACUGUACAAAAACCUGAGAUAUGACUCUCACAUUUGACUACAGUGCACUCUGAUCCUGGUGCUAGA